GGAAAAUAGAAGGUUGACCAUAAACAGCACAGUGGUGCUGGGCAAGGAACUUCCUUGCAACCAACUUCAUCGUCGAGCCCAACGAUGAAGAAAGUACUACAGGAGAAUCUCCUGGAUAGUACUUACUCGGAGAAGAAAUCCGAGGAGGUUAUUAUGUACCUGGAUCACAGUGAAGUUUCUCAUCUGAGUGAUCCAUGGUUCAUACGUCAAAAAUUCUUUGACGAAUGGGGUUACACUUCAAUGGAGGAAAAAACAGAGUAGUAAUGGAGGCGCUCCUGCUCCAUACUAAAUCUGUAGAGACUCAACAUAAUUUCUAGAAUGGAAAUAUCAGGAGUGGAGUUAUCAAUUUUAGCAAAUGCUACAUUUUGAAGGUGAUCAGACCAAAUGAAUGGGGACUUGACCCAAAUCAGGCCAAGCAGAUCACAACUAACGGACAAGUCUAUCUAGUUAAUUACUGGGACUAUGUUCAGGCAUUCACCAAUAUUUUCUAUUAUGAAAAUCCC
rnacentral:lncRNA from 1 species